rnacentral:rRNA from 1 species
GAUGAACGCUAGCUACAGGCUUAACACAUGCAAGUCGAGGGGAAACGCCAUCGAAAGCUUGCUUUUGAUGGGCGCCGACCGGCGCACGGGUGAGUAACGCGUAUCCAACCUGCCCACCACUUGGGGAUAACCUUGCGAAAGUAAGACUAAUACCCAAUGAUAUCUCUAGACGACAUCUGCAAGAGAUUAAAGAUUUAUCGGCGCUGGAUGGGGAUGCGUCUGAUUAGCGUGUUGGCGGGGUAACGGCCCACCAAGGCGACGAUCAGUAGGGGUUCUGAGAGGAAGGUCCCCCACAUUGGAACUGAGACACGGUCCAAACUCCUACGGGAGGAAGCAGUGAGGAAUAUUGGUCAAUGGACGAGAGUCUGAACCAGCCAAGUAGCGUGCAGGAUGACGGCCCUAUGGGUUGUAAACUGCUUUUAUAAGGGAAUAAAGUGAGUCUCGUGAGACUUUUUGCAUGUACCUUAUGAACAAGGACCGGCUAAUUCCGUGCCAGCAGCCGCCGUAA